UAGGGAAUAUUGGGCAAUGGACGCAAGUCUGACCCAGCCACGCCGCGUGCAGGAAGAAGGCUCUCUGGGUCGUAAACUGCUUUUGUACGGGAAGAAAAAGCUCUUGCGAGAGUAAUUGACGGUACCGUAAGAAUAAGCAUCGGCUAACUCCGUGCCAGCAGCCGCGGUAAUACGGAGGAUGCGAGCGUUGUCCGGAUUUACUGGGUUUAAAGGGUGCGUAGGCGGAUAGAUAAGUCAGAGUUGAAAGGCAGUCGCUCAACGAUUGUAAGGCUUUGAUACUGUUUAUCUUGAGUGUAUUGGAGGCAGAUGGAACGGGUGGAGUAGCGGUGAAAUGCAUAGAUACCAUCCAGAACACCGAUUGCGAAGGCAUUCUGCUACGAUACAACUGACGCUGAGGCACGAAAGCGUGGGGAUCAAACAGGAUUAGAUACCCUGGUAGUCCACGCUGUAAACGAUGGUUACUCGAUGUUUGUCCAUUAGGAUAAGUGUCUAAGCGAAAGCGUUAAGUAACCCACCUGGGAGA
rnacentral:rRNA from 1 species